GGCGGGGGGGGAGGGAGGUGUCGGCGCAGCUCACCCCCCGCGGGGCCAAGGCACGCUGCUGUGCGGGUGGCAGGAGGGGGGCGUCUCUACCCUGCCGCCCCCCCUCCCCAAAAAAUAUUUUCCGUGGAGAAGCGGACGCUUUUUCGCACGGCUGCCCGUCCCUCCGAGCCCAGCCCCGGGGCUCUCGGUGCCCCCGGUGCCUGUGACCAGGCGAAGUGGCUGCGCACCCCCCCGCCCCGUCCCAUGCCUCUAAUGAAAUUUAUUUAUCUAAAACAUCUAGUAAUAACCUAAAUGGUUUUAAUUGCCGCGUAUUUAAGCCAUCAAACCACACUUUUUAAAAAAAAAAUCUGUUAAAAUUGGCCCGUUUCCAAGUCAUUGACACCAUCCAACCUAUCCAAGCGGGGUGUUCAAAUCUGUUUUGGUACUGGAGUUUUCAAUGUACCAGGUGAAAUAUCUCGCUAAACCCGGCUGCUUUUAACUACCCGGCGUCUUUUGUUUGCCUCACGUUUCCCAUUCAUUCAAAGACAGAACUUUUAAAAGUUUGGGGUUUGGCUUUUUUUUUUUUUUUUCUUUUGAGCGGGAGGGAGAGGGUAAUGCAUGCAAAAUAUUUAGUUACAACUUCUGCGAAAGGCACCGAUCUGUAACGGCAUUUUCUACUUUCACAAAGGAUUUUCCUGUUACUUUUGUUCCGGUCACAAAAUUAAAAAAAAAAAAAAAAAAAGGCGAAAGAAAAAAAAACUUGGGGGAGAGAUAAGGUCUGGAAAACAAUCUGGAAUUGCCAGGCUGUUGGUGGGAGCUCUGCGGGGCUGGCGUCAGGAAGUCUGCGCCGCCUUCUAUUACUGUUGAUCCAGCUUUGUGCAGCUGCACUCAGUACAAUUAGCUUGUAGAAACAAUCCUGCUGUAGGCAGCCUCUUCCCUUCAAAGUGCUUUUCUAUACUGAUCCCCUCACAUCAUGAUGCUGGAAAUCAAGUCACAAGCCGACCACUGUUUGGCCAACAUAAUCUGUGGGAAUUCAUUAACCUCCAUCCCAGAGAUGCAACAAGAGAUUGUUUGUCCAGAACUAAACUUACAGCUUAAUAUGAUGUAGCCCAUACAGGAAAAAACCUGUGUCCCCAUUUCUUUUUCUUUUUUUUCUUUUUUUUUUUUUUUGUCCAUAACAAGAAACACAUUGUGCAGCUUUUUCUCUCUCUUUUUUUUUUUUUUUCUUCAGGGGGUGGGGAAUGUAGCUGAAACCAGGCAUGAGCCGGCUCCUGCUAAAACUUUGCCAUCAAACUGUUUUUUGGUUCAUCGGGCUGCAGUUUCCAUAGAAGCAACUUAUCCCCGCGAUCAUCUUGUUGGGUGCACUUUGCAAGCUCAUUUCCCGUCUGAGUUUGCUCUGCUGCUCUCAGAUGCUGCAGCUGACACAUUUCCUCCCCGUGCACUUUGCACCCACCUCAUCCUUGCCCAGAUGCUCAGGGCUGAUUGUGCCUAAAAGGGGGUUUCAUCGCACUCUGCAGCUGCCUUGGGGGAAGGGAUUUUGUUUUUUCUUAAUUUUAUUUUAUUUCUACUUUCCCCUGCGUCAGUGCUCAGCUCCGUGCCACGCAAGCAGCAGGCCCUCCUUGUUCUUGUUCCCCCAGUCCCCAGCGCUUCGGUGCCCGCUCGCUGGGACGCGGCUGCGGCCACAAGCCCUCUGCCACGCGCCCGUCGCGUGCUGCUGCGUGUGACCGCUGCCGGUGGCUCGGCUGGCCCUGGCCCGGUCCCGGUGGAGCGGAGCUGCCGGUGGGCCGCCGCUGCUGCGUACCACCGGCUGGGAAGCGGGGCCCUGGUGCGCCCCAUCUGUGCGGGCAGCGCCGGAGCAGCGGCAGGGUGACACCUCUCUGCUCCUGCUCCCGGGGCUAUUUGUGAACAACCGUGCUGCUGGAAGCGUGAGUCCUGCUUCCCGGCACCCCCGUGCCGCCCGUGGCAGGGCUCUUCACGCCCUGCCGGCAGCACCUCUCAGGGCAGCAGGGCUGGCGUCACUGCUUCCCCUCACUUCCAGGGUUUCUCAUUUCUGUAAGUAGGACCAGUGCCCUGAAGGCAUUUCUGCGUAAGCUGCCACCUGCAAAGGGCUAUUGCUUACCUGAUGCUACUUGAAGAAAACUGCCAUGAAAUCUUUCUGAAAGCAGUGUCUCUCUGGCAUAUCAAUGGGAAAAGAGAACAAGAGACACCUGCAGAGCAUGAUUCAUUCAGUGCCUGUUCAACACCUCUCUCUGGAUGGGACAAAUCUUCUCGCAGAGGGCCGUUACUCCCCAUCAAUUCUGGGCAGAAGCUAGACAACCAGUUUCGACCAGAAGCCUGACUUAUAGAUGCCAAGUGAGGUGCAGUCUCCCUCCACAGCCUUCUGCAUCAGCAAGUUCCAGAAGUUCACUACGUGCUGUGUAAAGAAGUACUUUUAUCUCUUUUAAAUCAAUCUCCUACUGGUUUCAUCAAGUGACCCCUAGUUCUAGCAUUGCAAAAGUUAUUGAAGAGUUCUGCUGUCAGCUUUUCUACCACCUUUGUGAUUCUAUAAACCUUACUUAUAUUCCCUCUCAGCUACCUUCUCUCCAAAUCCGAGCCCUAGUCUUUUUCAGUCGCUCAUUCCUUCUUAAGGCAACUGCUCUACUCGUUGGAUUGUUUUCGCUGCCAUUCUCUGGACAUGCAAUAACUGUGCUACGUCCAUCCUGAGAUGCCGGGUCCAGGACUCUGAAGAGUACUCAAGAUUUGAGAGGGAUACCACAGACAGUUUCUCUAAGAAGACUCUUUAGUCACUUGCCCCGUAAAUCCACUGUGACUCUGAUCCUGAGCCAUACUGCUUCCCUCCAAGUUACAGAGUUGGAUGGAUGCUGUUCUAGGGUGCAAGAGGGGGAUUGUGUGUGCCAUAUCUUUCUGCUUUCCAAUCCAAAAUGCUAGAGCCUACCAGGGCACAGUGUUGACUCAUACAAAAUAAAGUGUUGGGAUACAUGCAGGCCAGAAGUGGGAUGCAUAUUGACAAACCAUCUCAAAAACCUACACUUACUGCUCUGAUUUAACACAGCAGUUGGCUGGAUCCAUAUGGAGCUGAUGAACCUCUGAAUGAAUAGUGAAUGGAAAAACUGCUGGAAUCUGCCUUCAGCUUUGUUCCCAGGAUGACCAAUGUAAAAGGCCUAAGAGCAAUACUGCACAGAUGGUGUAAAGAGUUAAACUCCUGAUUUCAUGAAAGCUGCAUUUCAAAGGAGUCCGAAACCUGUACUGCUGUACCAAAGGGUCUCCACCACCUCUGCUGCUAAAUGCACGAUCUUGCUGUUCCUGUGAGUGUGGCCAAAUUAACUCCUAUGAUGUUGCACUGAAAAUCCCAGUUUGCAAGGAGGGGGUACUGUUCCUCCAAAAUAAGAAGCAAUGACAACAAAAAAUCCUACCGAGUGUGCUUGGUGGGGCCUCUUUUGUCAGGGACUAAUGACUUUGACCUCACUGUCCGAUCCCUCAGCGUAGAGGUAAGGAUGAAGACUCUUAAGAGGGCUGAACCGUCCUGUGUCAACAAGCUACCCUACAAACCCCAUGUCUCGAUAGCACUGACAAAGUAAAGCCAUUGAGCACAAACAUAUUUAAGGCAUAUUGUCCUGUGCAAGACUUUUUGUCUACCUGUAAACUCUCAGUGAUUUAAAAACAGGCAUUUUUUUUCAGAAGUACGAUACUUAAAAUUGCUUCAAAACUUUGCAGGAGCUGAAAUGUAUACAUUUCAACCAGGCUGGAAAUCUACAGUUUAGCUUGUAUAACUAAAUUACAAGCUAAAUUACUGAUACAUCAGUAGUUUGAAAUACAUCCAUGAAGGGAUUUUCAGAUAAACUGUUUUUUAAACCAGUGUAAAUUCUUUGUACAGACACUAGACCUGAGGAUUUUCACCAAGGAUUAAAUGUUAACUGACUACUUCCCUGUACAGUCCUUGCCAAAUUUUGCUCUCACUUCCUCUGGUCCUGAGUAACUUCACUGCAUUUGAAGUGGUUAUUCUAAAUUUGUCCCACUGUAACAGACCAAAAUUUAGCUUGGAGGAGCGUUGUCUUCUGUUGGUGUAUUUAUAGAUUUUUGGCUGAGAAUCUGGAAUAGGUGAGCAGUCCAAUUCAGGUGUGAACCCUUUCUCUACACUGCCUUGCAGGUAAAUCUGCUUGUCUCAGUUUUUAUAUACCUUAAAAAUGGGUGUGAACUGAUAUCAAAUCAGAUCUCUUCACUUCUUCCUUUGGUAACAUUUUAGGGCAGCUCAAAUCGGCAAGGUGCAAGAAAUCGAGUCCCGUUUCCACCCAGGAAUCGCUGUUCCUGGCAGUAGCACCUGGCAAGCUGCAUUGAAUCCAACACCGAAGAUAGCCUUAUAAACCCUGCGGACAUUAAACUACUGGAAAACAGAUUGGGAAUAAAUGUUGUGUAUUCCAAAUAGAUUUGUACGGGAACUUGACUGCAUCAGGGCAGCAAGAGUAAGGUUAUAAAUUCCGUGGCGAUUUCGGUGAAAUUCCUUGGUUAAUCCUUUUGCAGUUUAUUAGCAAGCAGAGUCCUGAAGAAGUAAAGCAGUGUCAACAAGGGUGUUGUGAAUGGCUUUUGUAGCCCUGCUACAGCUAAUGAAUCCUACCUGCCUGCUGUUCCCGAAGCAUUUCCUGGUUAACGCCGGGCUGUACACCUCCUCCAAAAGGCAGCACCUCCAGCGGUAUCUUGUCCUUGGCACUGUGAGGCUUCAGGUGUGACUCAGAUGGAUAGAUGCCACUGCAGGAGUGACUUGCUCUAACACAACAAAUAUGUCACUGAUUUCUGUACACCUUGCAUUCGAAGAGGACUGAUUCUAUAUUUGUCAGAGCAGCGUACAGCCCUUCUUCCACCUCUCCCUCCUUUUCAGAUACACAACUGCUUUAUUAUUUGCUGAGCUCCAGGAGAGUACUUGGUACUAUACAGAUAUACAAGGAGAAAAUGCUACUGCCCCAUGGAGCCUACAAUAGGCUUGGAUGAACGAGACAAUAGGUGUUGCUAAAAUUGAAGCCCUAGAUCAACAGGACAUCGAGGAUCCUGCAUCUUUGCAAGCACAUGUGGUAAGAAGGCAUCUUAAAAAUAAGACACCAGACCAGAGCUCAACAGAACUGAGAACCAUUCCUGCUCUUCCUUAGGUGUCUCGUGGGGUUUUGGACGAGUCACCAUUUCUGUGUCUCAUUUCUUCAUACUCAAUAGGAAUAAUAGUUUAUUUCUGAUUUCAUUCAUGUUUUGAUGUGUUCAGGAUAUGAGCCCAGGGAGAUUUUUGUCUUGGAUUUGGCUUACUUCAUCAAGAGAUUUGCAUCUCCAGACUUGAUUUAUAUCUGAAGCAAUUAGAGUGAUGCUCUUGAGGUAUCUUUCCAUCCUUAUUGGCAAGUCAGGGAUCAAAGGGUGACUGUAUUCCGGCUGGAUACCUCACAGAGAUGCCUACUUUGUCUAGGGUCAGAUCAGAUCUUAAUGUGUCUGUGCAAUGCAAAACAUAAAUGGGAAUACAGUCUUGGAGUGUUUAAGUUGCACAACCCUAAUUUAACUUCUCUUCAUUGCCUGCAUAUGGAGUCAGGUCUGAAAGCUUUGAGUUAUGGGCGAUCUGAAGGGGAUGAUAUUCUCUUGAACUUGGACACUACACUGGUCGUGAUAUCACGGUUAGCCAUAUACAGGUUGAAUAUGAACCCACAAAAAUCAUACUGAUACAGUAUGGUAAUCUGAAGAUUCAAAAUCAAAAAGACAAUCUAUUGAAAUUGUUAUCAGAUGUUGUGUCUGAAAUACCUCCACUUUUCUCUAGUGAGAAAAAGGGUUGGCUGUGGCAGUUGCAUGGUAUCAGCUGUCAAACAACCUUUUAGCAGAAACCGCUGUAUAAAGCCUUUUUCUGAUUGAGUGCCCAUACAUGAGACUUUUUGUAAAUACAGAAAACAACAUUAAUCUUAGCAGUAAACUGUAUCUUGUGUAAGUGGGCUGUGUGGAUUGAUGUGGAAGGCUUGAACAAACGAGAAGAACUGUUUAAAGUAUGCAGUUAAAUUCACUUAAUAUUACCUUGAUUAAUGACAGGAUUUUUUCAUUUAUCAGAUCAUUUUGCACUAAUUCAGUACAACUGUGUCUGCCUAAUAACAAUAAAUAGUAAACGAUUUCCUUCUUAAAUAUCAAUUGAAAAUCAGUGAUUUCCUGUUUCCAGCUGCACUUAGUGACAAUCAUUGCACAUGGCGCCGCUCAACACAAGUGAUUUGUCUAUAACCACUUUAUAUAUAUAUAUAUAUAAAAGUCUGGUUUCACCAGGCUGGACUCUGAGACAUUACUUAUGUUGAAUUGUACAUGUCUAGUCUGAGGGCAACAGUCUCAGUCCAAAUGAAGGUGCCAUUUUACUAGAGUGAGCAUCUCUGGACCUGGCUCAUGACUUACUGAAUCAGUGAUUAGAACAAGCCUGAAAGGCUUUUUUACUCCUUAGUAGAUGAAUUAAGUGUAUGAAACUCAAAUCCACUUUAAUGAUUUCAUUAUGUGCUUGAGGAAUAUCAAGCCUUUUACUGGAAAAGCUGACGCUGUCAAAAACGUGGCAAAGAGAUGCUGGUGAAAGGAAGGUUAGGAAGUGUUUUUCAUGACUGCUUUUUCUUGCGAUGCUGUGUUAUUUUGUUUCCAGUCCAUUUCUUUUUGUGAAAGAUGAACCAAAAUGGCUGACAAUCAGAAGCACAACAUGUAUGCAUGAGGUGGCAUUCUGGGCUGGAAAACCAUGUUGCAGUGCUGCACAGUACAUUGCCCCUCUUUCCAUAUGUCUUUGCUUAUAAGUGAGGAUGAGUAGGUGUUGAAGUAGGAGGCACUACCUGAAUUAUUUGAGGGAGAAAUAAAUUGCUUGGGUAGGCAAUUGCCCAUCAUCCUAUUGGCAGGUAGACAAGUACCCUACUUUUGAAAUGCUCAGGUGGCUGCCUGUUGAGAAGUGUAUUUCUUUUGUCUGGCUUUGUUUUAAUUUUCAGAACUCCCUCCCCUAGAUGAUUACAAUCCUUCGAGGAGUUCUCUUUGUUAGUCUCAAGCAAGACAGAUGCUUUGGCUUGAGCUGGUAAUAAUGCUGUUUGGGGACUGACAAGCUGGGUGAAUUUGCAGUGUGGUUGUAUACAUCCUCUUCAGUCACCAGUGCUGUGUGUUUAACUUCGCAAUAUGUUCCAUCUGUGGUAGCUAACGUGGGUAUGGAAUUUAUGACUGCAAAGACUAUAACAUACCACAAUACAGGAGUGCCUCUUGAGCUGAAAUGAUGUUUUUAAUCGGUAGAUUAAACGUUGUAGUUGAUUGACAGAUGGCUUUUUCUAUUUUCUGGAAUGCAUGUACUCUAACUUAAUUGUACCAAGGAUAUCACAUCUUGUAUAACACCUUUCCUGCUAACGGGUAUUAGAGAAUUUUAAAAUCGAUGUGCAAGGAACACCAUGGAAAUGCAACCACCUUGGGUAAAAUGCAGAGAAUUUAGGUAGAGAGAAUGUAAUUACCCAUGCUGGAAUUUGGCCAGCACACUGAGAUUAAAACCCCUAAUCUUACAAAGAGUACCAUGGGAUCUCUAAUGACCACAAAUGGUCAGAUCACAAUUUUAUGUCUCUGCCUAUAAUGCUGUACUACAACAAGGGUAUUUUCAAUUGUAUAGUGCAUUCAUUAUAAUUAUGCAGCUAAUUUUAUUCUCAUUGUAAUUUCCAAUAAUAAAGUUACAAAAGUACCACUAAAAUGUACAAAAAACCCCGGUUUGACAUGAUAUUAUGUUAAAUACAUUUUUGGGGCAUAUUCUGCUCUCAUUUAUACUGGUAUCUUUCUUUGAAGCUAAUGGAAUUCCUCCAGAUUUGAGCUGGAAUAACUGACAACAGAAGCUGUCUUUCCAAGAGAACAUUUUUAUGCACAUACAUUGUAUUGUAUGUUUGAAAAGUUAAAUAUUUAUAUUCUGUCCAAAUAUAGGAGAGUCUUUCUUCUUUUAUUUUAAAACCAUAAAAUUGUUAACAGACCCAUGAAAAAAGAAUAUUAUGGCUCUAUGUCUGUUGGUUAACCUUCACCACAAAAAUUGAUCUGUGGGAAUUUCUCACAGUGUAACAUACUGUAUCCAAUUCCAUAGUUAUUACUGUAAACCUAUUAGUGCCACCUGGGUUUGCAUAUCCGCAAUGCUGUCCAAGUGAAGACAGAUUAGCUCUAUCACAUGUUAUGCCAGAGGGACAGCCUCACGAGGAGUCUGCCCUCAGGGAGAAGAAAAAGGGCUCAGACCUUUAAUGAGAAUACAGGGCUUUAUAAUAGCAUUUGGUGGCCUAGAGAUUUUCUGUCAAGUCAUUUCAAAUUAAACUGGCAGCCUGGCAAUGUUCAGCACAUAUGAGUUUU